UCUGGAAGCGUGUGUUAAUUGGAAGGGAAUAAGGAGAGGCUUGUGCGCUUGGAAAGGUUCAGGCCGAGAGUCAUUGCCACCUUCUUACCCUCCUCAACAACGACAUUCUAUGACCACAGCAAGGAUGUCCAACCCAGGUUUUGGAUGCUAUGUGAAGAGUCUUGCUUAGGAAUAACAUGAGAUGGUAUUGACCCCGAUAGCAGACUGCAGGCCCAGACCUGGAGCAUCAAGAGACUGCCAAGGGGUUCCCUUCCCUUAGCUAUUGUACCCACCGAGGCUACUCCUUCAGGCUUGGAUGCCCACGGAUGCUGGGGGCCUCGUCGUCCAAGAUUCCUAAGGAUAUCUCACAUUCGCAGAGGGUCCAGAAACCUUCUGAAAGCAGAUUCGAGUCCCCAUGUUUCCACCAAGACUGUGACCAGGUACCUCCUUCAUGGCACUGCCAGGAGCUGCCCUGGGGAAUUCACUGAAACCUUGUUUUUGUUACAGAUGGGGAAAUGUUCUACUUAGAUAAGCAUCUAAGACAACUACAUGCCUGACUCCAUGCUAGGCGCUGGGAACCAGUGGAGAUGUAAGCUGUUACUAGGAAGCUGUUGAGCCUAGAAGAAUUGCCAACAGUACAGAAAACAGAUGGGGCAAAAUGCUAACAACUGAGUGAAUUAGUAUAUGUGCUUCCGAAGGGAACACCACACCUGGUGCGUCUGAAGACAGCUACAGUGUAUUAAGCCAGAGCGAGCGGGG